GUCUUAUUGGUAAUUUUAAUAAGUCUAGCCUGCCCAGUGAUUAUAUUAAACGGCCGCAGUAUAUUGACUGUGCAAAGGUAGCAUAAUCAUUAGUCUUUUAAUAGGAGGCUGGAAUGAAUGGUUUGACGAAAUAUCGGCUGUCUCAUUUUUAUUAAUUGAAUUUAACUUUUAGGUUAAAAGGCUUAAAUUUUUUUGGAAGACGAGAAGACCCUAUAGAGCUUUAUUAAAUUUAUUUUUAUAUGUUUUUGGAUAAAGACUUAUAAUAAUUGUAAUUUUAAUUUUGUUGGGGUGAUGGUAAAUAAAUAUUUAACUUUUAUUAUAUAUUAAACAUUUAUUUUUGAUUAAUUAGAUCCAUUUUUAUGAUUAUUAGAAUAAGUUACCUUAGGGAUAACAGCGUAAUCUUUCCUUUGAGUUCUUAUUUUCGGAAAGGGUUGCGACCUCGAUGUUGGAUUAAGAUUAUAAUUAGGUGUAGCCGCUUAUGUUAUAGGUCUGUUCGACCUUUAAAUUCUU
rnacentral:rRNA from 1 species